AAAAAGAAAAGAUACACUGAAGGAAAACACGGUGAAGAUUUCAGUAGGUAUAAUGCAGCUGAAGGAUGGAGUGCUGAAAGCAGUCAGAGGAAUGGUACUUCCCCUUGUUGUGCCACCAGGAUUUGAAGCAGAGCAAUUGCAAAAAGCUGCAGAACAAAAAAUGAUGGCCUUUAACAAACAUUUUCGAAGUGGCCCUUACUUUCUGCUCUACCCUGACGGUACAAAGAUAACCAAUAUACCAGGGACAGAAACAGCAUUCUCUCUGAAACUGUAUAAAGAAGCACUGGGGAAAGCCUACCAACGCAUCACAGUUUACCUUUGCACAGUUGAAGAUUUCCUUACUGAAUCUCAGCAAUCAACCUCAGACUCUUCUGAUUCUGAAGUGAUUAUAACAAGCAGAAGAACUAAAGAAUUUAAUUUGGCUGAUACAGUAGUAAGUGUAAUAUUUGCCAUUUUACAUGUGCUUAUAAGUCAGAGAUAGUAUUUACAUAACCAUUUUUUGGCAGGA